rfam:Cajanus cajan CcLG03_675, whole genome shotgun sequence.
AAAUCAUGUUGUGAGCAUGCUUCAAGAUAUCCUUUGUAACAUUCCCAAACUCCAUUAAUAGUUUCACCACUUCCUUGUUGGAAGUUGGUGAUCUUUUUCCUUAACUU